rnacentral:pre_miRNA from 1 species
CCGGACGAAAAUCUUCUUGCCAGACCUUAAUUCCAAAUCAUGUCGUAUGAUGUAUUGGUCGGUGGGAUUUUCGUCCGUU